CGAAGUGACCUGGAAGCUUGCUGAGACCCAUUGGGAAAAGAUAGGUGAGAGAGCCCGGGAGGUUUUGGCGAAAAGGCUGCCAGAGAGAUGCUGCAGCCUCGUGGCCGCUACUCCACCACGCGCCUGCGCGAGCUGUGGGUGGAGGUCUGCACUAUCUGAGUGCGGGAGGAGCCGCCGCUCCGGCCGCCGCUGCCGCCGCCGCCGCCGCCGUAUUUGCUGCUGCUUUUGCUGCUGGAGCCGUAGCUCCCUCCGCCGCCGCCGCCGCUCCCGCGGGAGCCCGCUCCUCCUCCGUAACUGCCACUGCCGCCACCGCGGGAGCCGCUGUAUCCGCCGCCGCCGUAACCUCCUGAGCUGCCGCCUCCGUAGCUGCCGCCACCGCCUACGGUCACCUGACUGCUCUGCACAGCUGCACCAGGGAAGGACAGACGCACCAAGGUCAGAAGGACUGCACAGGGGGUCUCAGCUACACCUGCCUAGAGUGCCUGCAGCCCGAGAUAAGUGGUGAGCUCCACUUUGCAAAACAGAAGCAGUGGAGGUCAGCUGAGCAUUUCAAAAGGCUGCAGGCAUUCAUUUCAGUGUGCCACCCCUGUUUAGAGUCAGGUCCUCUGUGCUCUCCUAAUGAUCUCUAGCCAGUGUUGUCAAGCAUCACAAGCAAGAAGAGCAGGCCUUGCUCACUACGGUGUUCCUUGUAUGAGACUAGAAAGCAAAAGCAACCCCGCCCAGCCCAACCAGCCUCCAUCCCUGGAUGCUGCUACUUACAGAUGCUCACUUGACUCUGCAGCUCCCCUGACAUCCUGUGAAAUCAAAACACAUCCAUUAGCCAUAGGAGCAGAGACACUGGCAUAAGUAUAGAGUAGAGUUGGCUCCUUCCUGAGCACUUCCAUGAAGCUUCAUAGCAUUUGUGGGUCACACCUGGCCGCACCUAGCUUAGGCCAGAGUACAGGAGCAUGGUGCUUGGGAGAAGUGGGGUGGUAACAAUGGCUUCUCCCCUACCGUUCUAACCUAUCCUUCCUAGCUUGAAUGUUUCUGUUCACCUUGGGUCACUAAUCGUUCUGGGAACACCUGGCAAAGCCUUUCUCCAGCCUCAUCGCCUCAUGGGUACAUCCACAUCUUUGGCCCAUGGAACAUGGCUGCUGUGCACCCACCUGCUCUCCUCGCCCUCCAGCAGCUGGCGGUAGGUGGCGAUCUCCACAUCCAAGGACAGCUUGGCCCCCAGCAUUGCCUGGUAGUCUCUCAGCAGCCUGGCCAGCUCCUCUUUAGACUGCUGCAGGGCCUCAUCCAUGUCUUGCAACUUCUGCUUUGCAUCCUGAAGAGCCCUUUCUCCUCUCUCCUCUGCAUCAGCAAUGGAUCCAUGCAUCUGUUCGAUCUAUACCAGAGAAAAGUGGAGGACCACAGAGGUCUUGAGCUUCUGGAAUCUGACCCGAGCCUUAUGGGAGUUGGCAUGUCUGAUUGGAGGCCAGCUGGCUGAUAGUCAUCACGUCCUGCUCCAAAGGGAGUACAGGAAGCCACUAUCUCCUGUACCUUGCUACCCUGCUGUAAAACUAAAUGGGCCUCUGUUGAUGGCAAGAGCCUUGAUCCAGUGAAAAUCCCGGAUUAAUUUCCAGAAGUCUGUGGUGCUUUGUGGAUGUCAGAUUUCCCCGCUCCUCCCUUGGACAACCUUGACUUCCUGGUGGCAUCUCCUUCACUAUUAAGUCCUUGCUCCAGGCAAACCUGUGGGUUUCUGUUCCAGAGUGAUCAGAAGUAGCCACAGGCACCUGGUUCUCUUGAACUCCCUGGGGCUGCCCAUGACCUGCCCUCUCUGUCCAACUCCUGCUCACACACCGCUCCAUCUCCAACACUCGCUGUUAUCAAGCAGUGCCAUUGUGCCUCUCUGCAAGUGCCAAAGGGAGGUUUUUACUGUCAACCAAUCUCUCCUCAGAGAGCUGAACAUGAGGCAAGCCUAACCAGUGAGUUAGGGUAGAGGACUCCGUGGGGCCCUUUGCUGGCCCCAGGUGAAGUCAAAAGGACGACUCAGACAGAAUGCCUCAUUACACAUUACUGACCUUCGUUUCUGCAGAGACCUGCCACCAGGACACCCACUUGAAGCCCACAACAGCUUCCCAGCUGGGGCUGCUGCCUGUCCCUCUACCGUGGCACCACCACACUCCCUUCUGUCACUUUCCCAGAAAUUUUGACAUUUGACAUUCCCUGAAGGAGUCACGCUUUUCAUGACUCCUUGCUGCAUGGACAUUCUCUCUCCCUGAGAGCUGUUUGGCUUUUCUUCUGCCUUCAAGACCCAGAUAAGCCCCGGGGUCUCUCAGGGAAACACUCCCAGGAUCCAGCAGACACAGCUCAUGGGACCUUCAGUCUACCAUGACCCAAAGAGUACCCCCAUAGUACCACAUCUGUAAACUGUCACAAUUAUCUGCCAUUCAGUUUUGUGGCUCCCUGUAGCUUCUGUGUAUGGUGGCAUGCAGUAGACCUAAUAAAAUAUUGUAAUUGAA